GGGGAUUUAGCUCAGCGGUAGAGCACUUGCCUAGCAAGCUCAAGGCCCUGAGUUCAGUCCCCA
rnacentral:tRNA from 1 species